rnacentral:snRNA from 14 species
AGAUGCCCAUGUACGGUAUGAGCGCGAGGAUGUUGACAAUGACAAAGACAGGGUCCCGCAAGCAAUAAAACGUGCUGCGG